rnacentral:sRNA from 1 species
GAAAUCGCUCGCCACUCUUCACAAUUUGUGAAUCCGAGCCUCGUGUCGUCACUACUUAUCAGAAUUUCGACUCUUUACUGACACCGGAGGAUCAUGUGUCAAGGUUGGGAUAAAAAUGAGGAUUUUUUGCGGAAAAUUGGGUUUUGAGACUGAAAAAUUCGAGUUUUUCACGAUUUUUUACGUCUGAGAGAAUUUUUUUUUUCAAAAUGAACAAAGAAUGAAAAAAAAACGAAAAAAGAAUGAAAAAAAACGAAAAAAGAAUGAAAAAAGAAUAGAAGAAAUGAAAAAAAAAAAGAAAAAAGAAUGAAAAAAAAGAAAAAACAUGAAAAAAAAAGAAAAAUAGGAAAAAAUGAAAAAAGAAUAAAAAAGAUUGAAAAAAGAAUGAAAAAAAUGAUAAAAGAAUGAAAAAAGAAUGAAAAAGGAAUGAAAAAGGAAUGAAAAAAAAAGAAAAAAAAAUAUAACGAAAAAAAAACGAAAAAAGAAUGAAAAAAAAAACGAAAAAAGAAUUAAAAAAGAAUGGAAAUAAAAACGAAAAAAAAAUGAAAAAAGAAUGAAAUUUUUUUUUCUUUUUUCGUUUAUUUCUCUUUUUUUUGUUUUUUUUUUGCAUUUUUUUUCAUUCUUUUUUCAUUUUUUUUCGUUUUUUUUCCCUUUUUUUAAAAAUUUUUCUCCUUUUUUUUAACUUUGCAUCAUUUUUUCUAAUGAAAAUGAAAAAAAUAAAUAAAAUUGUAGUGAAAAAUCCGAAAUUACCAGUUUUAAAACCAAAUUUUAAGCCUAAAACGUCAAAUUUCAGUCCAAAAAUCGAAAAAAAAAUUUUAGACGUCCCUCAGAUACGUACUACGUGAACCAUGAGCACUGCUUGCGAGCCCAUACCUCGGCUCACCAGCACAAUUUAAUGCAAUCGGGUCUCGACGCGUUUUUAGUGAUUGGAGACGUCUAUCGGAGGGAUGAAGUCGAUCGGACACAUUAUCCAUGCUUCCAUCAGG